AAAAUGCUCUGCCCUCCUUCCUGACUCAGAUGCUCCCAGACCUCAGACAAGCCCCUGGAAUUCCCCUUGGCAUGUUCUCACUGGAUGUUGUGUCAUCUCCUUCUGUGUGAGUCUCCCUCCCUCCAUGUGGAUCCACCAUGGGCAGGCAGAGCACACGAAGACCUACCACCCCCGGGAGAUGGAAGGUGUCAACGUCCGCUGGAUGAAGGACAGCCUGUUCUGUUGUGAGCUCUGUGACCUUGAUCAGGCGGCCCAACAUCUCUGAGCUCAAAUUCCUGCCUCCCAGGGGGGAGAAAGUUGUGAAGAUGAGAUGGCAAGAUGGCAAACAGUGACACAGCUUGACAGAGAGGAUGGACCCUGGCUCUGACACUGGCAAGCACCGAUCACUACCUGCCUAGUCCUGUGCUUCUUCGCCAAGUGUGUCCUGGCUUCCUCUUCUCCACCACCUGCACAGGAGUGCACCGCCACCCUGGAGAAGGACCAUACGGCCCGGCGCCGCCCCCCACAAGCCCUGGGCAGGGGUCUGUGACCCUCACCCCCUUUGGUGACCAGAUGUCCUCUGACCACACUGGACUGAGCACAGCAUGCUUUGGCCCUUUCUGCGUUGUCCUAGACAACCUGGUUCACUGCCAUGGCUUCAGUUACUACUGGGUGAGCCAAAAGGUGCGUUCGGUUUUUUUCCGUAAGGCGGCUCUAGUAGCACUUAGUUGUCUUUAACUUCAUUCGAAACAAUUUUGUUAGAUUGUAUGUGACAGCUGUCAUAUCAGUGUGCAUUAAAAAAAAAAAGACUUAUCAAAAUUGCUGAAUUUUUGUGUAGCCAUUUUAAUAUUGAAGAUGGAAGAGAAAAAGCAACAUUUUCAGCAUGUUAUGCUUUAUUAUUUCAAGAAACGUAAAAAUGCAACUGAAAUGCAAAAAAAGAUUUGUGCAGUUUAUGGAGAAGGGGCUGUGACUGAUCGAGCCUUGUCAAAAGUGGUUUGUGAAGCUUCGUGCUGGAGAUUUCUUCCUGGAUGAUACUCCACGGUUGGGUAAACCAGUUGAAGUUGACAGCGAUCAAAUCGAGACAUUAAUUGAGAACAAUCAACAUUCUACCACGUGGGAGACAGCCAACACACUCAAAAUAUCCAAAUCAAGUGUUGAAAAUCCUUUGCACCAGCUUGGUUAUGUUAAUUGCUUUGAUGUUUGGGUUCCACGUAAGUUAAGCGAAAAAAACCUUGUUGACCAUAUUUUCGCAUGUGAUUCUCUACUUAAAUGUAAUGAAAAUGUUCUGUUUUUAAAACAAAUUGUGACGGGCUAUGAAAAGUGGAUACUGUACAAUAAUGUGGAAUGGAAGAGACCAUGGGACAAGCGAAAUGGACCACCACCAACCACACCAAAGGUCGGUCUUCAGCCAAAGAAGGUGAUGUUGUGUAUAUGGUGGGAUUGGAAGGGAGUCCUCUAUUAUGAGCUCCUUCCGGAAAACCAAACGAUUCAUUCCAACAAGUACUGCUCCCAGUUAGACCAACUGAAAGCAGCACUCGACGAAAAGCGUCCAGAAUUAGUCAACAUAAAACGCAUAAUCUUCCAUCAGGAUAACGCAAGACCGCAUGUUUCUUUGAUGACCAGGCAAAACCUGUUACAGCUUGGCUGGGAAGUUCUGAUUCAUCCACCAUAUUCACCAGACAAUGCACCUUCGGAUUUCUAUUUAUUUCGGUCUUUACAAAAUUCUCUUAAUGGAAAAAAUUUCAAUUCCCUGAAAGACUGUAAAAGGCACCUGGAACAGUUCUUUGCUCAAAAAGAUAAAAAGUUUUGGGAAGAUGGAAUUAUGAAGUUGCCUGGAAAAUGGCAGAAGGUAGUGGAACAAAAGGGUGAAUACGUUGUUCAAUAAAGUUC